rnacentral:rRNA from 1 species
UACAGAGGUCUCAAGCGUUGUUCGGAUUCAUUGGGCGUAAAGGGUGCGUAGGCGGCGCGGUAAGUCGGAUGUGAAAGCUCGGAGCUCAACUCCGAAAUGGCAUUGGAAACUACCUUGCUCGAGGGUUGGAGGGGGGACUGGAAUACUUGGUGUAGCAGUGAAAUGCGUAGAUAUCAAGUGGAACACCAGUGGCGAAGGCGAGUCCCUGGACAACUCCUGACACUGAGGCACGAAAGCUAGGGGAGCAAACAGG